CAACUCCGGUUGAUCCUGCCGGACCCCACUGCUAUCGGGAUAGGACUAAGACAUGCUAGUCAAGCGCUCUCAAGCCAACAAGAGAGUGCGGCACACAGCUCAGUAACACGUGGCUAACCUGCCCUCAAGACGGGGACAACCCCGGGAAACUGGGGCUAAUCCCUGAUAGGCGAAGAGCUCUGGAAUGAGCCUUUACCAGAAAGGACGAUUAGGUUAUGCUCCUGGUCGUCGCUCGAGGAUGGGGCCGCGUCCGAUCAGGUUGUUGGUGAGGUAACGGCUCACCAAGCCAUUGACCGGUGCGGGCCGUGGGAGCGGGAGCCCGGAGAUGGGCACUGAGACAAGGGCCCAGGCCCUACGGGGCGCAGCAGUCGCGCAAACUUUGCAAUACACGAAAGUGUGACAGGGCUAUCCCGAGUGCCGUCCGCUGAGGAUGGCUUUUAACCAGUCUAGAAAGCUGGUAGAAUAAGGAGAGGGCAAGUCUGGUGUCAGCCGCCGCGGUAAUACCAGCUCUCCGAGUGGUGUGGAUGUUUAUUGGGCCUAAAGCAUCCGUAGCUGGCCAAGUUAGUCCCNNGGGGUAGGGGUGAAAUCCUAUAAUCCCGGGAAGACCACCAGUGGCGAAGGCUGUCGGCUAGAACGAGCCCGACGGUGAGGGAUGAAAGCUGGGGGAGCGAACCGGAUUAGAUACCCGGGUAGUCCCAGCUGUAAACGAUGCAGGCUAGGUGUUUGGACGGCCACGUGCCGUUCUAGUGCCGCAGGGAAGCUGUUAAGCCUGCCGCCUGGGGAGUACGGUCGCAAGAUUGAAACUUAAAGGAAUUGGCGGGGGAGCACCACAAGGGGUGAAGCUUGCGGUUUAAUUGGAGUCAACGCCGGAAAUCUCACCGGGAGCGACAGCAGUUUGAAGGCCAGAUUAAAGGUCUUGCCAGACGAGCUGAGAGGAGGUGCAUGGCCGUCGCCAGUUCGUGCCGUGAGGUGUCCUGUUAAGUCAGGCAACGAUCGAGACCCGCGUCCUCUGUUGCUACUGGNNUGAACAUGGAAUCCCUAGUAAUCGCGUGUCACUAGCGCGCGGUGAAUACGUCCCUGCUCCUUGCACACACCGCCCGUCGUUCCACCCGAGCGACUCUUGGGUGAGGCGUGGUCUUUCUUGGCUGCGUCGAAUCUUAGUUUUGUAAGGGGGGAAAAGUCGUAACAAGGUGGCCGUAGGGGAACCUGCGGCCGGAUCACCUCCUAAGAAA
rnacentral:rRNA from 1 species